UACGUAGGCAGCGAGCGUUGUUCGGAGUUACUGGGCGUAAAGGGUGUGUAGGCGGUUCUUUAAGUUUGGUGUGAAAUCUCCCGGCUCAACCGGGAGGGUGCGCCGAAUACUGAGGGACUAGAGUGCGGGAGAGGAAAGUGGAAUUCCUGGUGUAGCGGUGAAAUGCGUAGAUAUCAGGAGGAACACCGGUGGUGUAGACGGCUUUCUGGACCGUAACUGACGCUGAGACACGAAAGCGUGGGGAGCAAACGGG
rnacentral:rRNA from 1 species